rnacentral:lncRNA from 1 species
AAAGUAUCCCUUUCUUGCCUUUUUAUUAUUUUUGUCUGAGCGUUGGACUCUCGUGUAUGUUUUUUACCCUUGAGUAUUUAUGGGUUAUCUUCUCUCGAGCGUUUUGCGGGCUCUUUGUUGCCUGGACCUUUCUCUAGGUCAGCUGAGUUGGUUUGGUGUGAGUGGUCAAUUCUCGAGGUCGGUGCCUCUUAUAAUUGCCCCUGAUUCUCUGUUUGGCUUUGUAUUUUGGUAUGCAGUUUGCUUAGGAAUCGCCUUGCCUUAAUUCGGUCUGCCUAUUGGGUUUACCAGUACUGCGCUCGUUUUCUUGAGAUCGGCAUGGUGCUUUGAUACUUUUGGC